rnacentral:rRNA from 1 species
UACGUAGGCAGCAAGCGUUGUUCGGAGUUACUGGGCGUAAAGGGUGCGUAGGUGGCUCUAUAAGUAUGGUGUGAAAUCUCCCGGCUUAACUGGGAGGGUGCGCCGUAGACUGUGGGGCUAGAGUGUGGGAGAGGAAAGUGGAAUUCCUGGUGUAGCGGUGAAAUGCGUAGAUAUCAGGAGGAACACCGGUGGUGUAAACGGCGUUCUGGACCAUAACUGACACUGAGGCACGAAAGCGUGGGUAGCAAACAGG